rnacentral:siRNA from 1 species
CUUUAGACAAGAAGCGAUCAGAUG